rnacentral:rRNA from 1 species
GCUAACGACGUGCCGGCGGCGUGGGGAAUACGGAGGGGGAGAGCGUUGGCGGGAAUCAGUGGGGUGAAAGCGCUGGUAGGGUGGUCGGUAAGGCUGCUGUGAAAGUCCAGGGCUCAACCCUGGGAUGCCGGUGGAUACUGUCGGGCUAGAGGGCGGAAGAGGCGAGUGGAAUUCCCGGUGUAGCGGUGAAAUGCGCAGAUAUCGGGAGGAACACCAAUUGCGAAGGCAGCUCGCUGGGACGUAACUGACGCUGAGACGCGAAAGCGUGGGGAGCAAACAGGAUUAGAUACCCCAGUAGUC